rnacentral:rRNA from 1 species
AUUGAACGCUGGCGGCAUGCUUUACACAUGCAAGUCGAACGGCAGCACGGACUUCGGUCUGGUGGCGAGUGGCGAACGGGUGAGUAAUACAUCGGAACGUGCCCAGUUGUGGGGGAUAACUACUCGAAAGAGUAGCUAAUACCGCAUGAGAACUGAGGUUGAAAGCAGGGGAUCGUAAGACCUUGCGCAACUGGAGCGGCCGAUGGCAGAUUAGGUAGUUGGUGGGAUAAAAGCUUACCAAGCCGACGAUCUGUAGCUGGUCUGAGAGGACGACCAGCCACACUGGGACUGGGACACGGCGCAGACUCCUACGGGAGGCAGCAGUGGGGAAUUUUGGACAAUGGGCGAAAGCCUGAUCCAGCAAUGCCGCGUGCAGGAUGAAGGCCUUCGGGUUGUAAACUGCUUUUAUACGGAACGAAAAGCUUCGGGUUAAUACCCUGGAGUCAUGACGGUACCGUAAGAAUAAGCACCGGCUAACUACGUGCCAGCCGCCGCAGUAA